rnacentral:rRNA from 1 species
AGCGAACGCUGGCGGCAGGCCUAAUACAUGCAAGUCGAGCGGGUGUAGCAAUACACCAGCGGCAGACGGGAGAGUAACACGUGGGAACGUGCCCUUCAGUUCGGAACAACCCAGGGAAACUUGGGCUAAUACCGGAUACGUCCGUAAGGAGAAAGAUUUAUCGCUGAAGGAUCGGCCCGCGUCUGAUUAGCUUGUUGGUGAGGUAAUGGCUCACCAAGGCGACGAUCAGUAGCUGGUCUGAGAGGAUGAUCAGCCUCACUGGGACUGAGACACGACCCAGACUCCUACGGGAGGCAGCAGUAGGGAAUAUUGGACAAUGGGCGCAAGCCUGAUCCAGCCAUGCCGCGUGGGUGAUGAAGUCCCUAGGGUUGUAAAGCCCUUUCGGCGGGGAAGAUAAUGACGGUACCCGCAGAAGAAGCCCCGGCUAACUUCGUGCCAGCAGCCGCCGUAAAAC